UUUGGNAUCAAUGGACUGUCNCUGGCGACUUUGGAAACGAAGUUCGCAUGUGCACGUCCGUCCUUCCUUAGUCCUCGCUCUCUUGCCUUUGGAGAAAAACAAACCUUUACACCUGUGCACCUGUUGUAGGUCCCUUUGCGGGGAUCUAUGUUUUUUCCAUAACACCGAACGUAUGUCUACAGAAUGUCUUUAAUGCGUCGAUCGGCAUGGCUAACGCUGUGUCGGAGACGGUAAACUAUCAUUACAACUUUCAGCAACGGAUCUCUUGGCUCUCGCAUCGAUGAAGAACGCAGCGAAUUGCGAUAAGUAAUGUGAAUUGCAGAUUUUCAGUGAAUCAUCGAAUCUUUGAACGCACCUUGCGCUCCUUGGUAUUCCGAGGAGCAUGCCUGUUUGAGUGUCAUCUAAUUCUCAACCACGCUUCGAUUGAUUUCGAUGUCUUCGUGGCUUGGAUUUGGGGGCUGCCGGCGACCCUUGGUUGGGACGUCGGCUCUCCUUAAAAGCAUUAGCAAAGGCGAGCCUCGCAUGUACGGCCUUCGGCGUGAUAAUGAUCGUCGUGGCUAGAGUGCGUCGGGCAUGAAUCGUCAGUGCUUCUAAUCACGUCUUCGCUCCGGCGNAACGGACCUUACUUUAAGACUUGACCUCAAAUCAGGUAGGACUACCCGCUGAACUUAAGCAUAUCAAUAANCGGAGGA
rnacentral:rRNA from 1 species